GUGAUGGAUAAAUAGAAGAGAAUGAACUUUUUAUUACUAAAAUUAAGUUAAAAACAUAAAUGAGAGAAGAGAAAGUAUGCUCUUAAGUCUAUAAAAAAACCUCUUAGAAUCUCUUCCAACUCUAUUUGAAUCAUCAUGACUCUUUAUUUUUUUACCUAAACAGAUAUAGGAUAUAAAAGAGACUCGGAGACAGUCUUACAUGCUCAGACAAAUCACAGCCUUUUAUUACACACAAAUCGAAUUAUCGAUAGCCAGAUAUGCAACUACUAACACAUUAUUAUUACACACGGAGUUCCUGAAAACUACAGACAAUUAUUAGCCAUCAAGGCAGAAGGACCAGAUUAACAAGGUCCCAAUUUGACAACACGAACUCCAUUGCAGUGAGCCUCAGCACAUCCGCAAGUGUAGGUGACUCCGUUGGCGCCGCAGACUGGAUCGGCUCUAAAACACUGAAUAUUGCAUGGAGCGGCAGGCUUAGUCACCGGAGAAGACCCUGGACAGAGCUUAGAGUCAUUGAUCUUUGAAGUUCGGGCGGAUUGGACGUCUGGAGGAAGAAUAGUAAUAGCCAUGAUGGUGAUAAGCAUGAGGAGAAAAAUAGACUUUGGGGAACUCAUUGUUAUUGAUAGCAGUAAGAGUAUUACACAACUGGUUCCUGAACUAGUUGGAGUAAAUAUGAAUUGUCUGCUGUCGGCUAGAUCUGCCGGAACUUUUGACUAGCUGCCAGCUUAGCAUUAUCCAUAUAUACACAUACAUGAUGUAUAUGUAUGAGUUAUUAUCAUGUUGUCUAUUUAACUUAAAAAUUAAAAACUCAUGUAUUUGCGGAUCUCAAGUAAUAAUGUAUAACAAAUGGACUGUGUAUUUGUAAACUAAUUAAAUAAGGUUUCAAAAUAAUAAGACAGCGGCUUAAAAUCUUCUGGGUCACGUUCUCUUAUGUUAUUAUUUCCUCGGUCCCUUUUUAGUUUUUUUUUUUUGAUAAUCCGAAAAAAGAUAAAAACAAGAAGCGAGUUGGCUUUACACAUGAAUAGCCCCACUCGGAGAAACAACCAACACAG
rnacentral:lncRNA from 1 species